rnacentral:rRNA from 1 species
UACGUAGGGGGGCAAGCGUUGUCCGGAAUCAUUGGGCGUAAAGCGCGUGUAGGCGGCCCGGUAAGUCCGCUGUGAAAGUCGGGGGCUCAACCCUCGAAUGCCGGUGGAUACUGUCGGGCUAGAGUGCGGAAGAGGCGAGUGGAAUUCCCGGUGUAGCGGUGAAAUGCGCAGAUAUCGGGAGGAACACCAAUGGCGAAGGCAGCUCGCUGGGACGGUACUGACGCUGAGACGCGAAAGCGUGGGGAGCAAACAGG